AUUGAACGCUGGCGGCAGGCCUAACACAUGCAAGUCGAACGAGUGGCGGACGGGUGAGUAAUGUCUGGGAAACUGCCUGAUGGAGGGGGAUAACUACUGGAAACGGUAGCUAAUACCGCAUACCAUCAGAUGUGCCCAGAUUGGAGUAGCUUGUUGGUGGGGUAACGGCUCACCAAGACGACGAUCCCUAGCUGGUCUGAGAGGGUGAAAUGCCACACUGGAACUGAGACACGGUCCAGACUCCUACGGGAGGCAGCAGGUGUGAAUAUUGCACAAUGGGCGAAAGCCUGAUGCAGCCAUGCCGCGUGGAUGAAGAAGGCCUUCGGGUUGUAAAGUACUUUCAGCGGGGAGGCGUUACCCGCAGAAGAAGCACCGGCUAACUCCGUGCCAGCAGCCGCGGUAAUUC
rnacentral:rRNA from 1 species